rnacentral:lncRNA from 10 species
CACCUGAGACUGAACUCUACCAUAUAGAUGUGUGCUGUCCAAUCUAGAGGCCAUGUGCCACAUGUGAGUAUUCCGCAUUCGGCAUGUGGCCAGUGCAGACUGAGAUGUUGCUGCCAGUCAGCGAUGCAUUCAGUUCCGAGCCCUGCCUUUUAUCAAGCUGCAGGACCUGCGCCAGACCCUCUGCUUCUGCCUACCCUCCUCUCCAGCAUGGUGGUUGCCAGACCUCCCCCAGCUUCCUCAGUACCUGCUGCAAGGCCUCCCUACUUGAAGAAUCUGAGAGCAUCAAGGAACUCCCUUCAGCUGGAAGAGAAAAGAAAAAGCAAACAAAAGCAACCCUCCCUGAACAAGGAGACUUUCUUUCUAUGACUGUGAGUCCCCGAUAAGAAAAACCCUCUACCAUUUGUGGCAUCCUGUUCUAGAACCACGCCUGCAACUCCUCUCCCUGGCAAGGCCUCUCUGGGUGUGAUUAAUGGCAGUGGGGGUGCUGAGUGGCCUUCAGGUGGUUGCCACAAGGUCAGCAGUAGAUGAACUGUUGGCGCUCGGGGACAUGAAUUCAAGCUGUCAGCCAAGUGUGCAAAAUUACCCAGCUGAGGCUAAUUUAAUUCUCUCUCUCUCUCUUUCUCCUUCUCUCUCUCUCCCUUCUUAAUUAUAACUUAGACACAUUGCCUGGUAGACACUUAAAAGAGAUUAAAAUGACCAUAUCAUCGUUUUUAUUUUUCCACUAUGGUAACAAAACCCUCAGGCAUGGGUUCACCUGACCUUGAAUUCUGCUGUAUGGAUCUGUGCUGUCCAACCCAGAGGCCAUUUGCCACACGUGACUAUUGAGCAUUCGGAAUGUGGCCAGUCUAAACUGAGAUGGGCUGUAAGUGAAAAAUAGGCACUGGAUUUCAAAGACUUAAUAUGACCA